rnacentral:rRNA from 1 species
AGAGGGUGCGAGCGUUAAUCGGGAAUCACUGGGGCGUAAAGAGCACGUAGGUGGAUAUGCAAGUUGGAUGUGAAAGCCCUGGGGCUUAACCUGGGAAUGUCAUCCAAAACUGCCUGUCUAGAGUACAGUAGAGGAAAGUGGAAUUUCCGGUGUAGCGGUGAAAUGCGUAGAUAUCGGAAGGAACAUCAGUAGCGAAGGCGGCUUUCUGGACUGAUACUGACACUGAGGUGCGAAAGCGUGGGGAGCGAACAGGAUUAGAUACCCUGGUAGUCCACGCCGUAAACGAUGAGAACUAGCCGUUGGAGACCAUUGAGUCUUUUGUGGCGCAGCUAACGCGAUAAGUUCUCCGCCUGGGGAGUACGGCCGCAAGGUUA